GAUCCGGUGGCCUAGUAGUUAGAGCGUCCGCCUCUGAUGCAAGAGGUCGUGGGUUCUAUCCCCGAUUGAGUCA